UACUUUAUAGAUGCAAGACGAGUGACAGCAAGUUUGAGGAAUGAAGAGCAAAAGGAUAUAGCAGUCUUUACAUAAAAUAGUUCAGGAAUCCAGUUGGAAAGAAGAGCUUUUCAGUUAAAAGUAUUUCCUGGGAAUUAACAGGAACUUCUAUAAAUGUUUUUUUCUGGAAUAGUUAUUCAAAAGGGCAGUGAAGUGAAGGAUUACAUUAGACAAAUAUUGCUGAAGUGGUAAAAUCAGACCCAAGAGAUGUACAAAAUUUCUACAAUACAUGUUACAGCUGACUUUAGCUACUUAAUCACAUUGACAUUUGUGUGCUUUUAUGUUUUCUUUACAUAAUUAUUACAGUUCUAUUAAAAUUAAUAUUUUUA